AAAGAUGUUUAUAUGUAUAUUACAAUCCAAAAAGCUAUAUAGCAGAUUAAUCAGUUCCCAAGUAUAGGAUUAUGGGUGGGGGACUUCACUUCCUAUUUUAUACACUAAUGUAUGUGAAUAUUUUAUCCCCAUUCUUAGGUGAUAAAGACCUCAAGUAUGAGUUUCAUCUCAUCUUUGAAUUCUUCAGAUCACCUGCUCAUAUUAGGAUCCCUGAAAAUGGAAAGGAAUUCCCUAGAUAUCCCAGUUUAUUCCCACACCCUAACACUGCAGAGGAGUCCCCGAAAUACGAAACAUUUCAGCCUCUCCUCAUUUCUUUCAAGGGUGGAUUGAAAGAUACCAGCUUCAGCAGGUCCUUGUAUUGAAGACAGCAUAACCCCCAAGAGGAAAGGAGCUUGGAGCCCUGAAUCAGAGUAGAAGACCAGCUGAACACCAGCCUUGGACAGUUGUGUGAAUGAAAAACAAAUUUUGAGAUUUGUGUGGUUUAUGUAUUAGUUACUAUUAUUAUUAAAGUUUUUCACUGCUUUACUCUCAGUUGUUGGUACUAAUGAUUGCAGUGGCAUGUGACACACUGAUCUCUAGGGACCGUUGGAAGUAUGAAUCAAUGUGCUCCUAUAGUAGGAAGAGAAUCAAUUGAUUUGCACUUAAGGUUGGGGAUCUGGAAAAAGGUAGGUGGCAUAUAUUAGAAUUAGAUCAAAAGUUUCUAAUCUUUUCCUUACGUGAUAUACAGG
rnacentral:lncRNA from 1 species